UUAUUAGAUAUGCUCUAAGUUCACACGAAGCGAAAACUUCCCUCUCUUAGUAUUCACCUCGCUCUUUGCGUGGGAAAUUUGGUGAGCUCCCACGAUUCGUGGAUAAACUAUAUUCGAAAAUUUGCCAUUAAUCAUCGAUGUUCAAACGAAAUUGCCUAGAAAUCGCCAGGCAAGCCAAACAAGCUCAAACUCUUUGCAUAAAUCUCGACCAACUUUUGCAGCCGUUUGAAACAAAAAGAGGAGCAGAAUUAAAACUGUGCAAAAAUUCAACAAAAAUGGAGAUGUUCCACACUUUUCAGCUAUUUCUUUUAUUAUGCCGUAACUAACCAACUCAACAGGAGCAAAAUCUGGAACACUAUUGGCUAAAAGGAGUCAACCAGCCGGGCUUUGACAACGCUUUCGGUGCUCCAUUCGCCGGAUCCAGCGAAGCCAGUUAACCGCAAUAAUUUAUGCCUUUGAGCCGUGUUUGAGUCAAAGUCUUUUGUCUCUAUGUCUGUAUGUGUGUGGGUGGGUGUGUGUGUGUGGUGUGGGUUUGUGUGGCCACAUAAUUUUGCCUAUU
rnacentral:lncRNA from 1 species